GACGAACGCUGGCGGCGUGCUUAACACAUGCAAGUCGAACGGAAAGACCCUGCUUUUGUGGGGUGCUCGAGUGGCGAACGGGUGAGUAACACGUGAGUAACCUGCCCUUGACUUUGGGAUAACUUCAGGAAACUGGGGCUAAUACCGGAUAGGAGCUCCUGCUGCAUGGUGGGGGUUGGAAAGUUUCGGCGGUUGGGGAUGGACUCGCGGCUUAUCAGCUUGUUGGUGGGGUAGUGGCUUACCAAGGCUUUGACGGGUAGCCGGCCUGAGAGGGUGACCGGCGACAUUGGGAAUGAGAUACGGCCGAGAGUCCUACGGGAGGCAGCAGUGGGGAAUAUUGCACAAUGGGCGGAAGCCUGAUGCAGCAACGCCGCGUGCGGGAUGACGGCCUUCGGGAUGUAAACCGCUUUCGCCUGUGACGAAGCGUGAGUGACGGUAAUGGGUAAAGAAGCACCGGCUAACUACGUG
rnacentral:rRNA from 1 species